rnacentral:lncRNA from 1 species
CACCCAAAUCCUUCGUCGCUGUAAAUCUCUUCUCAAAAAGCAACUUCGCUUCUCUUCGCACCGUACUAGGUUCCUCACACCACUGGUCUCCAAUCUCCACACCCUUCACUGCAUUUCUUAGACUCCUCCAUCUAAGGGUCGAAUGGUAGAACUUUGUGCAAGAGUCCCCAUUCUUGAGCCAACUUGCUCUCGCUUUCUGGCACGUAAGCGAGUCAAGCUUUCUAUCAACUUCCUU